GACGAACGCUGGCGGCGUGCUUAACACAUGCAAGUCGAACGCUGAAGCUUGGUGCUUGCACUGGGUGGAUGAGUGGCGAACGGGUGAGUAAUACGUGAGUAACCUGCCCUUGACUCUGGGAUAAGCCUGGGAAACUGGGUCUAAUACUGGAUACGACAUGUCACCGCAUGGUGGUGUGUGGAAAGGGUUUUACUGGUUUUGGAUGGGCUGACGGCCUAUCAGCUUGUUGGUGGGGUAAUGGCUCACCAAGGCGACGACGGGUAGCCGGCCUGAGAGGGUGACCGGCCACACUGGGCCUGCGCCACCGCCCAGACUCCUUCGGGAGGCAGCAGUGGGGAAUAUUGCACAAUGGGCGGAAGCCUGAUGCAGCGACGCCGCGUGAGGGAUGACGGCCUUCGGGUUGUAACCCUCUUUCAGCACGGAAGAAGCGAAAGUGACGGUACGUGCAGAAGAAGCGCCGGCUAACUACGUG
rnacentral:rRNA from 1 species